rnacentral:rRNA from 1 species
GACGAACGCUGGCGGCGUGCCUAAUACAUGCAAGUCGAACGCUUCUUUCCUCCCGAGUGCUUGCACUCCAUUGGAAAGAGGAGUGGCGGACGGGUGAGUAACACGUGGGUAACCUACCCAUCAGAGGGGGAUAACACUUGGAAACAGGUGCUAAUACCGCAUAACAGUUUAUGCCGCAUGGCAUAAGAGUGAAAGGCGCUUUCGGGUGUCGUUGAUGGAUGGACCUGCGGUGCAUUAGCUAGUUGGUGAGGUAACGGCUCACCAAGGCCACGAUGCAUAGCCGACCUGAGAGAGUGAUCGGCCACACUGGAACUGAGACACGGCCCAGGCUCCUACGGGAGGCAGCAGUAGGGAAUCUUCGGCAAUGGACGAAAGUCUGACCGAGCAACGCCGCGUGAGUGAAGAAGGUGUUCGGAUCGUAAAACUCUGUUGUUAGAGAAGAACAAGGACGUUAGUAACUGAACGUCCCCUGACGGUAUCUAACCAGAAAGCCACGGCUAACUACGUG